rnacentral:rRNA from 1 species
CCUACGGGUGGCUGCAGUGGGGAAUAUUGGACAAUGGGGGCAACCCUGAUCCAGCCAUGCCGCGUGUGUGAAGAAGGCCCUCGGGUUGUAAAGCACUUUCAGUGAGGAAGAACGCCUGGUGGUUAAUACCCAUCAGGAAAGACAUCACUCACAGAAGAAGCACCGGCUAACUCCGUGCCAGCAGCCGCGGUAAUACGGAGGGUGCGAGCGUUAAUCGGAAUUACUGGGCGCAAAGCGCGCGUAGGUGGCUUGAUAAGCCGGUUGUGAAAGCCCCGGGCUCAACCUGGGAACGGCAUCCGGAACUGUCAAGCUAGAGUGCAGGAGAGGAAGGUAGAAUUCCCGGUGUAGCGGUGAAAUGCGUAGAGAUCGGGAGGAAUACCAGUGGCGAAGGCGGCCUUCUGGACUGACACUGACACUGAGGUGCGAAAGCGUGGGUAGCAAACAGGAUUAGAUACCCCAGUAGUC